rnacentral:rRNA from 1 species
CUGGCGGCGUGCCUAACACAUGCAAGUCGAACGGGACUUGAGGGGGCUUGCUCCUCAAGUUUAGUGGCGAACGGGUGAGUAACGCGUGAGAAACCUGCCUCUCAGUGGGGGACAACAGUUGGAAACGACUGCUAAUACCGCAUAACCCGCUAGGGUCGCAUGACCCCAGACGGAAAAAGAUUUAUCGGUACGAGAUGGACCCGCGUCUGAUUAGCUAGUUGGUGAGGUAACGGCCCACCAAGGCGACGAUCAGUAGCCGGCCUGAGAGGGUGAACGGCCACAUUGGGACUGAGACACGGCCCAGACUCCUACGGGAGGCAGCAGUGGGGGAUAUUGCACAAUGGGCGAAAGCCUGAUGCAGCGACGCCGCGUGAAUGAUGAAGUAUUUCGGUAUGUAAAGUUCUAUCAGCAGGGAAGAUAAUGACGGUACCUGACUAAGAAGCACCGGCUAAAUACGUG